UCGGAUUAUAGCUGUGGCCAUUUUUUGA
rnacentral:piRNA from 1 species